rnacentral:rRNA from 1 species
UUCCGGUUGAUCCUGCCGGACCUGACUGCUAUCGGAUUGAUACUAAGCCAUGCGAGUCAUUGUAGCAAUACAAGGCAGACGGCUCAGUAACGCGUAGUCAACCUAACCUAUGGACGAGAAUAACCUCGGGAAACUGAGAAUAAUGCUCGAUAGAACACUAUACCUGGAAUGGUUUGUGUUCUAAAUGAUUUAUCGCCGUAGGAUGGGACUGCGGCCUAUCAGUUUGUUGGUGAGGUAAUGGCCCACCAAGACUAUUACAGGUACGGGCUCUGAGAGGAGUAGCCCGGAGAUGGGUACUGAGACACGGACCCAGGCCCUAUGGGGCGCAGCAGGCGAGAAAACUUUGCAAUGUGCGAAAGCACGACAAGGUUAAUCCGAGUGAUUUGUGCUAAACGAAUCUUUUGUUAGUCCUAGAAACACUAACGAAUAAGGGGUGGGCAAGUUCUGGUGUCAGCCGCCGCGGUAAAACCAGCACCUCAAGUGGUCAGGAUGAUUAUUGGGCCUAAAGCAUCCGUAGCCGGCUCUGUAAGUUUUCGGUUAAAUCUGUACGCUUAACGUACAGGCUGCCGGGAAUACUGCAGAGCUAGGGAGUGGGAGAGGUAGACGGUACUCGGUAGGAAGGGGUAAAAUCCUUUGAUCUAUUGAUGACCACCUGUGGCGAAGGCGGUCUACCAGAACACGUCCGACGGUGAGGGAUGAAAGCUGGGGGAGCAAACCGGAUUAGAUACCCGGGUAGUCCCAGCUGUAAACUAUGCAAACUCAGUGAUGCAUUGACUUGUGGUCAAUGCAGUGCUGCAGGGAAGCCGUUAAGUUUGCCGCCUGGGAAGUACGUACGCAAGUAUGAAACUUAAAGGAAUUGGCGGGGGAGCACCACAAAGGGUGAAGCCUGCGGUUCAAUUGGAGUCAACGCCGG